GUAGGUGGCAAGCGUUUGUCCGGAAUUAUUGGGCGUAAAGCGCGCGCAGGCGGUCCUUUAAGUCUGAUGUGAAAGCCCACGGCUCAACCGUGGAGGGUCAUUGGAAACUGGGGGACUUGAGUACAGAAGAGGAAAGCGGAAUUCCACGUGUAGCGGUGAAAUGCGUAGAGAUGUGGAGGAACACCAGUGGCGAAGGCGGCUUUCUGGUCUGUAACUGACGCUGAGGCGCGAAAGCGUGGGGAGCAAACAGGAUUAGAUACCCUGGUAGUCCACGCCGUAAACGAUGAGUGCUAAGUGUUAGGGGGUUUCCCGCCCCCCUUAGUGCUGCAGCUAACGCAUUAAGCACUCCGCCUGGGGGAGUACGGCCGCAAGGCUG
rnacentral:rRNA from 1 species